UGAAGAGACUGUGCAGGUCUGUGUGCUAUGUUAGCGACAACACUCACAGACACGCGCAGUCUACUCACU
rnacentral:pre_miRNA from 2 species